UUAAAACAGAUCUGCUCUCGUGUCUUUGUCAGACUUGCAGCUGUCGUACGACUAACGACUUGGUUGAAUACUCUCAUUGUUUUGCUCAAGGCAACGAAGUCAGGCUCACUGCUAACAUGAGAUUCACGUCUACCUUUUUGCUCCUUGCAGUAUUAGCAGCGUUCCUUGCCAUGAUCACUGCAGCAGAAGACAGACGCGACGACAGGCGCAGUGGAGACGGUCAAGGCACCGGAUGCCCAGACCUCGCUGCCUGCACCCGAAGCUGCCAUCUCAAAGGAUUCGGUGUAGGCGCGUGCGUUGGAGCUCGACUAAUGAUCUGUUUGUGCACCUAAUUUUGAUGGAAGUCCUCCAUUGCUUGGCAAUAAACGUUGCCUAUU